AUCAUGUUGUUAGUUUCUCUCCUUAGCAUCAAACACAGGACCUGAGCCAGAGAAACACAAUAAAGAUGUGUGGACUUAAAGAGAGUUUCUAUUUUCCAUGGGAGGACCCAUGAGGAUCAGCUUCCUCCUCUCCCUGGCCCAAGAGUGAGGAACCCAGAUCAAGGAAGAAAUCAAUGCAAUAAAUUUGGGAGAAACAAAGGAAGCUCAGAAAAAUUGAGGGAUAGCCCUGAUGACGUGACCAUCUGAAUCAACCUUACUAUUAGCCUAAUGACAAUUUCCACUCUUACAGCUGGAACCAAGUAUCCUCUUCCAGAAUGGUGCACUGGCCUUCUUAGCCUGGAGACAAAAUUCUUGUGCACUAUUGACUUUGAUUCGACUGUCCAUCGUAAGAUCUAUUCUAGUGUCUUAUAAUCUUGGCUUUGCCUUUAACUCUCUAUUGCUGUAUGGAUAAUUUUUUAUUUCUUCUUAAGUAGACAUUGUAUUCCUUAAGGAAAAGUAGCAUGG